GACGAACGCUGGCGGCGUGCUUAACACAUGCAAGUCGAACGGAAAGGCCCUGCUUUUGUGGGGUGCUCGAGUGGCGAACGGGUGAGUAACACGUGAGUAACCUGCCCUUGACUUUGGGAUAACUUCAGGAAACUGGGGCUAAUACCGGAUAGGAGCUCCUGCUGCAUGGUGAGGGUUGGAACGUUUCGGCGGGUGGGGAUGGACUCGCGGCUUAUCAGCUUGUUGGUGGGGGAGUGGCUUACCAAGGCUUUGACGGGUAGCCGGCCUGAGAGGGUGACCGGCCACAUUGGGACUGAGAUACGGACCAGACUGCUAUGGGAGGCAGCAGUGGGGAAUAUUGCACAAUGGGCGGAAGCCUGAUGCAGCAACGCCGCGUGUGGGAUGCCGGCCUUCGGGGUGUAAACAGCUUUCGCCUGUGACGAAGCUUUAGUGACGGUAAUGGGUGAAGAAGCACCGGCUAACUACGUG
rnacentral:rRNA from 1 species